rnacentral:tRNA from 1 species
GAUCUGUGGCUCAGUGGUAGAGCGCUUGCCUCCUACGUGGGAGGCACUGGGUUAGAUCCUCAGCGCCA